GCAAUGCCGUCGCUAGAACUCAAAUUAUAUAUACGAAUAGUUGCUGUAGUAUUUUCUAUUUCUUCAGCAACAGCAUUUGGAUUCUCAUUAUUACGACUUUUAGAUCCUGAAUUAUUUUACACAGUCGAGUUGGACAAUACUGGAAUAGGUAAUGUUCACAAAUUUAAUUUGGUCAUUCAUUAUAUAAUCUGUGGCAUGAUGAUAGUGACAAGUGCUAUCGGAUUUCUGAACAGUUUAAUUGUAAUGAACAGAAGUAGUUCAAAGAAUACUGGGAGAAAUAUAACAGUGUGGCUACUUUUGGACUCACUGUUUGAGACUACCC